rnacentral:rRNA from 1 species
AUACGUAGGGUGCGAGCGUUGUCCGGAAUUACUGGGCGUAAAGAGCUCGUAGGUGGUUUGUCGCGUCGUCUGUGAAAUUCCGGGGCUUAACUCCGGGCGUGCAGGCGAUACGGGCAUAACUUGAGUACUGUAGGGGAGACUGGAAUUCCGGGUGUAGCGGUGAAAUGCGCAGAUAUCAGGAGGAACACCGGUGGCGAAGGCGGGUCUCUGGGCAGUAACUGACGCUGAGGAGCGAAAGCAUGGGUAGCGAACAGGAUUAGAUACCCUGGUAGUCCAUGCCGUAAACGGUGGGCGCUAGGUGUAGGGGUCUUCCACGACUUCUGUGCCGUAGCUAACGCAUUAAGCGCCCCGCCUGGGGAGUACGGCCGCAAGGCUAAAACUCAAAGGAAUUGACGGGG